rnacentral:rRNA from 1 species
GSGGUAGGCCUAACACAUGCAAGUCGAACGGCAGCACAGGAGAGCUUGCUCUCUGGGUGGCGAGUGGCGGACGGGUGAGGAAUACAUCGGAAUCUACCUUUUCGUGGGGGAUAACGUAGGGAAACUUACGCUAAUACCGCAUACGACCUACGGGUGAAAGUGGGGGACCGCAAGGCCUCACGCGAUUAGAUGAGCCGAUGUCCGAUUAGCUAGUUGGCGGGGUAAUGGCCCACCAAGGCGACGAUCGGUAGCUGGUCUGAGAGGAUGAUCAGCCACACUGGAACUGAGACACGGUCCAGACUCCUACGGGAGGCAGCAGUGGGGAAUAUUGGACAAUGGGCGCAAGCCUGAUCCAGCCAUACCGCGUGGGUGAAGAAGGCCUUCGGGUUGUAAAGCCCUUUUGUUGGGAAAGAAAUCCUAUCGGUUAAUAACCGGUGGGGAUGACGGUACCCAAAGAAUAAGCACCGGCUAACUUCGUGCCAGCAGCCGCGGUAAUACGA